rnacentral:rRNA from 1 species
ACACGACCGUACCGCAAACCGACACUGGUGCGCGAGAUGAGUAUUCUAAGGCGCUUGAGAGAACUCAGGAGAAGGAACUCGGCAAAUUGACACCGUAACUUCGGAAGAAGGUGUGCCCUAUUAGUGUGAAGUGAACAACGGAGCAUGAAUGGGUUGCAAAAAAUCGGUGGCUGCGACUGUUUAUUAAAAACACAGCACUCUGCAAACACGAAAGUGGACGUAUAGGGUGUGACGCCUGCCCGGUGCUGGAAGAUUAAAUGAUGGGGUGCAAGCUCUUGAUUGAAGUCCCAGUAAACGGCGGCCGUAACAAUAACGGUCCUAAGGUAGCGAAAUUCCUUGUCGGGUAAGUUCCGACCUGCACGAAUGGCGUAACGAUAGCCACACUGUCUCCUCCUGAGACUCAGCGAAGUUGAAAUGUUUGUGAUGAUGCAAUCUCCCCGCGGAAAGACGGAAAGACCCCAUGAACCUUUACUGUAGCUUUGUAUUGGACUUUGAACAGAUCUGUGUAGGAUAGGUGGGAGGCUUUGAAGCCGGGACGCUAGUUUCGGUGGAGCCAACGUUGAAAUACCACCCUGGUGUGUUUGAGGUUCUAACCUAGGUCCAUUAUCUGGAUCGGGGACAGUGCAUGGUAGGCAGUUUGACUGGGGCGGUCUCCUCCCAAAGCGUAACGGAGGAGUUCGAAGGUACGCUAGUUACGGUCGGACAUCGUGACGAUAGUGCAAUGGCAUAAGCGUGCUUAACUGCGAGACUGACAAGUCGAGCAGAUGCGAAAGCAGGACAUAGUGAUCCGGUGGUUCUGUAUGGAAGGGCCAUCGCUCAACGGAUAAAAGGUACUCUGGGGAUAACAGGCUGAUACCGCCCAAGAGUUCAUAUCGACGGCGGUGUUUGGCACCUCGAUGUCGGCUCAUCUCAUCCUGGGGCUGUAGCCGGUCCCAAGGGUAUGGCUGUUCGCCAUUUAAAGAGGUACGUGAGCUGGGUUUAAAACGUCGUGAGACAGUUUGGUCCCUAUCUUCCGUGGGCGCUGCAGAUUUGAGGAAGCCUGCUCCUAGUACGAGAGGACCGGAGUGGACACACCUCUGGUGUAUCGGUUGUCACGCCAGUGGCAUUGCCGAGUAGCUAAGUGUGGAAGAGAUAACCGCUGAAAGCAUCUAAGCGGGAAACUCGUUUCAAGAUGAGAUCUGCCGGGGCCUUGAGCCCCCUGAAGAGUCGUUCAAGACCAGGACGUUGAUAGGUCAGGUGUGGAAGUGAAAA